GACGAACGCUGGCGGCGUGCUUAACACAUGCAAGUCGAACGAGGCGAUUGAAAGCUUGCUUUUGAAAGUCGAGUGGCAAACGGGUGAGUAACGCGUAGACAACCUGCCUUUGAGAUGGGGACAACAGUUCGAAAGGACUGCUAAUACCGAAUGUUGUAUAUUUUCCACAUGGAAGAUAUAUUAAAGAUGGCCUCUAUUUAUAAGCUAUCACUCAAAGAUGGGUCUGCGUCUGAUUAGCUAGUUGGUGGGGUAACGGCCUACCAAGGCGACGAUCAGUAGCCGGUCUGAGAGGAUGAACGGCCACAUUGGGACAGAGACACGGCCCAGACUCCUACGGGAGGUAGCAGUGGGGAAUCUUCCACAAUGGACGAAAGUCUGAUGGAGCAACGCCGCGUGAGUGAAGAAGGGUUUCGGCUCGUAAAGCUCUGUUGUCGGGGACGAAUGUGCAGUAUUUGAAUAAAGUACUGUAAUGACGGUACCUGACGAGGAAGCCACGGCUAACUACGUGCCAGCCGCCGCCGUAAAAC
rnacentral:rRNA from 1 species